rnacentral:lncRNA from 1 species
ACAAAGGUGCCAAGAGGGACCCAUCCAUUGUCCGGUUGCUGCAGUGUGAUCCCAGCAGUGCUAGCCAGUUCUGAGGGGAAUAGGCUUUUACACAGUUGUGAGAAACACAGGUUUGACUUGCCAUCUUCAGCUUUGCUUGAUACAGUGGUUUUCUCCGUGAUUUCUCCUGCUCUCUCGGGACCUGGGUCCAGGCAGCAUAACACACUCACCUGGUCUGGCUGGAUGCAGCUCCCUCCUCUGUCUGAUCCAAUAGAUGUCCCUCCCCAUCCAGUCCAGGAUGGUUUCUUCCAAGGUUUCAAGUGUUCUGGGCUGUAGGGCUCCUUCCCUGCCCACAGAGGGCCUGGAGACCCUUAAGGACACCAGACAGGACAUUUCAGUAUCUUACUGAGACCAGCUGAUUUAUUCUAUGAUCCCAGGUGAGUUUGUGAGGAUGAAGAAGAUGGAGAGUAGAUAGGCAAGCCCUUCCUGUGCAUGGCUCCACCUCCCUUGUUCAUUUUCUCCGACCAAAGCUGCUUGCAUGUAUAUACUGCAGUGUCCUUACUUUUAAUAUAUAAGUUUUGUAUAAAGUGAGAAGGUUCAGCCCCUGUAUUUAAAGCCUCUGACUGCCUUUAAAGCAUGGUCCCCUGUGGCCUGUGAUUCCCCCCACCCCCAAGUCUGGCUGUGCUGUGGUAUUUAAGUAUUUAUUUGCCUAAUUACACAGGAGAUACAUGCAUGCCCAAGGCUGUGGACAUCUGCCCUCCGUCCUGCAAAUACAGGUGUUCCUGUGUGCUCUGUCCUUCCUUUCCAUUGACCUGGCAUAUUAAAAUGAUCAAAUAAACCAAGGUCUGUGAGUUUCCUGUGUUGUCACAAGCACCCUGU